GGCUGUAGCUCAAUGGUAAAGUGCUUGCCUCACAUGUGUGAGGCACUGGGUUCAAUCCUCAGCACCA
rnacentral:tRNA from 1 species